GGGUUCGUAGUGUAGUGGUAGCAUGCCGUGUUUGGGAACGGAAUGUCUUUUCGUAACUGUAUCGCGGCGGUCGUCGGUUCAAACCCGGCCGGACCCC